AGUCAUGUGGCCGAGUGGCGAGGCACAGGUUUCAUAAACCUAGAAUGGCGGUUCGAUUCCGCUCAUGACGUCUA
rnacentral:tRNA from 1 species